UUUCGACAAGUUGCACAUGCUGCUAACUUAAAUGUUGUUUAAGUUUUAUUACCUGAAGUUAGUGAUUAACCAGUUCAACGGGCGACUAAACCUCAUUGGAAAACAACUUCAAAUAAAUGUCCCACCAGGGAGAAACUGACCCCAGAGUACACUCCGUUUAAGUCUGGCUAAUGAUUGAUGUAAACCUGCCUGACUCUCCAGCCUGCCGCUCCAGUAAUGAGGAGGGAAAAAAGACACUAAAGCAUGGAGCUGUGUUUCUGUCGUCAAGGCUUCUCUCUUCAGUGCGAGGAUGGGAUUUUGUAAUCACUCUUCUGGAAUCUCUGAAAGCACAAAAUACUCCAGCUGUUUCAUGUUUGUUUCUCAUCUGUGUUCCAUCUACAGACAGGCAUUUCAAUAAACACGGCACACCAGAGUGUCUCUGAAACACA